ACAAAGGUGGCUCACUGGUAGAAUUCCCACCUUUCAUGUGGGAGACCUGGGUGCAAUUCCUGGCCAGUGCG
rnacentral:tRNA from 1 species